rnacentral:misc_RNA from 1 species
GAUGAAGAACGCAGCGAAAUGCGAUACGUAAUGUGAAUUGCAGAAUUCAGUGAAUCAUCGAAUCUUUGAACGCAUAUUGCGCUCUCUGGUAUUCCGGAGAGCAUGCUUGUUUGAGUAUCAGUAAACACCUCAACUUCCAUAUCUUUUUUGAAAUGGGAGUUGGACUUGAGUGAUCCCAACGCUUUUCCUCACCGAAAAGUGGCGGGUUACUUGAAAUGCAGGUGCAGCUGGACUUUUCUCUGAGCUAUAAGCAUAUCUAUUUAGUCUGCCUAAAAAACAGAUUAUUACCUUUGCUGCAGCUAACAUAAAGGAGAUUAGUUCUUGUGCUGACUGAUGCAGGAUUCACAAAGACGGCUUCGGCCGACUUUGUAAACUCGAUCUCCAAUCAAGUAAGACUACCCGCUGAACUUAAGAAUAUCAAUAAGCGGAGGA